rnacentral:rRNA from 1 species
GAAAUCUGGCUGGUUUACUAGUCCGAGUUGUAAUUUAAAGAAGCGUUUUCGGUGGCAGCCUGGGUAUAAAUCCUUUGGAAUAGGGUAUCAUAGAGGGUGAGAAUCCCGUCUUUGACCUAGUGCAUGCUACUAUGUGAUACGUUUUCAAAGAGUCGAGUUGUUUGGGAAUGCAGCUCAAAAUGGGUGGUAAAUUUCAUCUAAAGCUAAAUAUUGGCGAGAGACCGAUAGCGAACAAGUACCGUGAGGGAAAGAUGAAAAGAACUUUGAAAAGAGAGUUAAACAGUGCGUGAAAUUGUUGAAAGGGAAACGUUUGACACCAGUCAUGUGGGUGGAAAAUCAGUCUUUUGCAUUGGGGAGUUGUAAAGGUUCGGACCGCAAGGCCGGCUUUUGCUUCAUCUUUGGUGUAAGGGAUGCACUUUUUCAUCUACAGGUCAACAUCAGUUUCUUUUGCUGGACAAAACUCCGAGAGAAGGUAGCAGCUUAGGCUGUGUUAUAGCUCUGGAGCGAUACAGUGAAGGGGACUGAGGUUUUCGCAGCGUGUGCUCUCGGGCAAGGCUGGAUGGGUGCUAUGGGAUCGUUCGGGGUACAAUGCCCGGCAUUUUGCUUCGUGUCUUUUCUAUACUCGCUCAACUCAGCUCUUCCACGCUUAGGAUGUUGACUUAAUGGUUUUAAACGACCCGUCUUGAAACACGGACCAAGGAGUCUAACAUAUAUGCAAGUGUUUGGGUGGCAAACCCAUGCGCGUAAUGAAAGUGAACGUAGGUGCCAUCCGCAAGGUGCAGCAUCGACCGAUCUUGAUAUUUUUGGAUAGAUUUGAGUAAGAGCAUAUAUGCUGGGACCCGAAA